rnacentral:rRNA from 1 species
UCCGUAGGUGAACCUGCGGAAGGAUCAUUAACGAGUUUUGAAACGAGCUGUAGCUGGCCUUCCGAGGCAUGUGCACGCUCUGCUCAUCCACUCUACCCCUGUGCACUUACUGUAGGUUGGCGUGGGCUCCUUUGCGGGAGCAUUCUGCCGGCCUAUGUAUACUACAAACACUUUAAAGUAUCAGAAUGUAAACGCGUCUAACGCAUCUAUAAUACAACUUUUAGCAACGGAUCUCUUGGCUCUCGCAUCGAUGAAGAACGCAGCGAAAUGCGAUAAGUAAUGUGAAUUGCAGAAUUCAGUGAAUCAUCGAAUCUUUGAACGCACCUUGCGCUCCUUGGUAUUCCGAGGAGCAUGCCUGUUUGAGUGUCAUGGAAUUCUCAACUUAUAAAUCCUUGUGAUCUAUAAGCUUGGACUUGGAGGCUUGCUGGCCCUUGUUGGUCGGCUCCUCUUGAAUGCAUUAGCUUGAUUCCGUACGGAUCGGCUCUCAGUGUGAUAAUUGUCUACGCUGUGACCGUGAAGUGUUUUGGCGAGCUUCUAACCGUCCAUUAGGACAACUUUUUAACAUCUGACCUCAAAUCAGGUAGGACUACCCGCUGAACUUAAGCAUAUCAAUAAGCGGAGGA